rnacentral:rRNA from 1 species
GAUGAACGCUGGCGGCGUGCCUAAUACAUGCAAGUCGAGCGAACGGACGAGAAGCUUGCUUCUCUGAUGUUAGCGGCGGACGGGUGAGUAACACGUGGAUAACCUACCUAUAAGACUGGGAUAACUUCGGGAAACCGGAGCUAAUACCGGAUAAUAUUUUUAACCGCAUGGUUCAAAAUUGAAAGACGGUCUUGCUGUCACUUAUAGAUGGAUCCGCGCUGCAUUAGUUAGUUGGUAAGGUAACGGCCUACCAAGGCAACGAUGCAUAGCCGACCUGAGAGGGGGAUCGGCAACACUGGAACUGAGACACGGUCAAGACUCCUCCGGGAGGCAGCAGAAGGGAACUUUGGGAAAUGGGGGAAAUCCUGCCGGAGAAACGCCGCGUGAGUGAUGAAGGUCUUCGGAUCUUAAACCUCUGUUAUUAGGGAAGACCAUAUGUGUAAGUAAAAGUGCACCUCUUGACGGUACCUAAUCAGAAAGCCACGGCUAACUACGUG